AGGACAGCUCUGCACUUUGUGAGGGGAACUAUAGGGUCUUUGCUCAGCUACUGGUAAUGUGGAAUUUUGUUUUUCUUUUUGUUUAUUGUUCUUCCUCUUAUAUGAGUCUUAUGGAGCUGGAUUGUCACUUCAAAUGACUAAUGUCUUCUAGUUACACCAAUUAUCACUAAUGUAUGACAAAGGAGAAAGGAAAACCAAAGGGAAAAGAAUACAUUUUUCAAAGUGUGUGACUGAGGAAACUACUCUACAACAAAAUCUACUGUUGGCUUACAUUAACCUUACAUUAAACACUCCAAUGUAAAGAGGAACCAUCCGCAUGAGACUUCACAGCCAAAACCCUGCAAGCUCCCUGAAGGCUUCUCCUGAAAUGGCAAAUGCUUGAUUCAAGAUAUCUUCAGGGAUGCACUGUGAGUGGUCAAUCAACCGAAUGCUAUCAAACAUCAAACCACCUCUUACUUGCUGCAGCCAAACACCAAACCUAGAAUCUGGGUUCAUGAUGUGUGCAUUGAGAUGCAGUUGGGAAUCCACUUCCCUUCCUGUGACACUGCAGUUGAUCCCAGGAAGGGGAAUUGUGAAUUGUCUUUGACAACAUCUGUAAGUUCUGUCGCAAGUGGAUGACAGCCCCUCCCCUAUUCCUUCUGUCCCUCUUUCUGGGACUAAUAGCUAUUUUCCUAUGGCUAUGCUUGUUGUAUAUGUGACUAUUCAGAAGUUUCUAAGCUGAGUCUCAGUAUAAGUCCAUCAGUAAAAUGCUUUAAGUGC
rnacentral:lncRNA from 1 species